AUUGAACGCUGGCGGCAGGCCUAACACAUGCAAGUCGAGCGAGCGGCGGACGGGUGAGUAAUGUAUGGGGACUGCCCGAUAGAGGGGGAUAACUACUGGAAACGGUAGCUAAUACCGCAUACUAUCGGAUAACCCAUAUGGGAUUAGCUAGUAGGUGAGGUAAUGGCUCACCUAGGCGACGCUCCCUAGCUGGUCUGAGAGGAUGAUCAGCCACACGUGGACUUAGACACGGCCCAGACUCCUGCGGGGGCAGCAGUGGGGAAUAUUGCACAAUGGGCGCAAGCCUGAUGCAGCCCUGCCGCGUGUAUUAAGAAGGCCCUAGGGUUGUAAAGUACUUUCAGUCGGGAGGCGUUACCGACAGAAGAAGCACCGGCUAACGCCGUGCCAGCAGCCGCGGUAAUUC
rnacentral:rRNA from 1 species